UACGUAGGGGGCGAGCGUUGUCCGGAAUCAUUGGGCGUAAAGAGCGUGUAGGCGGCUUGGCAAGUCUGCCGUGAAAACCCGAGGCUUAACCUCGUGGCUUGCGGUGGAUACGGGCAGACUAGAGGUAGGUAGGGGAGAACGGAAUUCCCGGUGUAGCGGUGAAAUGCGCAGAUAUCGGGAGGAACACCGGUGGCGAAGGCGGUUCUCUGGGCCUUACCUGACGCUGAGGAGCGAAAGCAUGGGGAGCGAACAGG
rnacentral:rRNA from 1 species